UACGUAGGGUGCGAGCGUUGUCCGGAAUUACUGGGCGUAAAGAGCUCGUAGGUGGUUUGUCGCGUUGUUCGUGAAAACUCACAGCUCAACUGUGGGCGUGCGGGCGAUACGGGCAGACUAGAGUACUGCAGGGGAGACUGGAAUUCCUGGUGUAGCGGUGGAAUGCGCAGAUAUCAGGAGGAACACCGGUGGCGAAGGCGGCAUCCUGGACCGGCAUUGACGCUGAGGCGCGAAAGCGUGGGGAGCGAACAGG
rnacentral:rRNA from 1 species